GCCACAUCUCCAAACCCUUUCUUUUCAAAUGUAGGCAAAGUAGGAGAGAGCCUAGGGGAGCAUAGGGCUCUGCCCAAUGAUGUCUAGUCCCUUUCCACAAUGUUGGAUAUGAAGCUGGGCUUUGUGUCUGCGCCUGCAUAUUCCUACAGCUUCCCAGAGUCCUGUGGACAAUGACUGGGGAGAUAAGCCAUGCAGGAAACAGUA